rnacentral:rRNA from 1 species
AACGAACGCUGGCGGCAUGCCUAACACAUGCAAGUCGAACGAACCCUUCGGGGUUAGUGGCGCACGGGUGCGUAACACGUGGGAAUCUGCCCUUUGCUUCGGAAUAACAGUUAGAAAUGACUGCUAAUACCGGAUAAUGUCGCAAGACCAAAGAUUUAUCGGCAAAGGAUGAGCCCGCGUAGGAUUAGCUUGUUGGUGGGGUAAUGGCCCACCAAGGCGACGAUCCUUAGCUGGUCUGAGAGGAUGAUCAGCCACACUGGGACUGAGACACGGCCCAGACUCCUACGGGAGGCAGCAGUGGGGAAUAUUGGACAAUGGGCGAAAGCCUGAUCCAGCAAUGCCGCGUGAGUGAUGAAGGCCUUAGGGUUGUAAAGCUCUUUUACCAGGGAUGAUAAUGACAGUACCUGGAGAAUAAGCUCCGGCUAACUACGUGCCAGCAGCCGCGGUAA